rnacentral:rRNA from 1 species
UACAGAGGUCUCAAGCGUUGUUCGGAUUCAUUGGGCGUAAAGGGUGCGUAGGCGGCGCGGUAAGUCGGGUGUGAAAUCUUGGAGCUUAACUCCGAAACUGCAUUCGAUACUGCCGUGCUUGAGGACUGGAGAGGAGACUGGAAUUCACGGUGUAGCAGUGAAAUGCGUAGAUAUCGUGAGGAAGACCAGUGGCGAAGGCGGAUCUCUGGACAGUUCCUGACGCUGAGGCGCGAAGGCCAGGGGAGCAAACGGG